CUACGGGUCGCUGCAGUCGAGAAUCUUCCGCAAUGGGCGCAAGCCUGACGGAGCAAUGCCGCGUGAGGGAUGACGGCCCUAGGGUUGUAAACCUCUGUCAGAAGGGACGAAGAACGUGACGGUACCUUCAGAGGAAGCCAUGGCUAACUACGUGCCAGCAGCCGCGGUAAUACGUAGAUGGCGAGCGUUAUUCGGAUUUACUGGGCGUAAAGGGUCCGUAGGGGGUCUGCCAAGUCUGAUGUGAAAUCCUGCGGCUCAACCGCGGAACUGCAUUGGAAACUGGCGGACUAGAGUGUGCGAGGGGUGAGCGGAAUUCCUGGUGUAGCGGUGGAAUGCGUAGAUAUCAGGAAGAACGCCGAUGGCGAAGGCGGCUCACUGGCGCAUCACUGACCCUGAGGGACGAAAGCGUGGGUAGCAAACAGGAUUAGAUACCCCGGUAGUC
rnacentral:rRNA from 1 species